UUUUUUUUUUUUUUUAAAUUUUUUUUUCAUGUAUUUAUUUACUAUAUGUAAGUACACUGUAGCUGUCUUCAGAUACCCCAGAAGAGGGCAUCAGAUCUCAUUAUGGAUGGUUGUGAGCCACCAUGUGGUUGCUGGGAUUUGAACUCAGGACCUUUGGAAGAGCAGUUGGUGCUCUUACUCACUAAGCCAUCUCACCAGCCCGAAAAGCAGCAUUCUUGUGUGCACGAGGCCCUGGUGUACUCAGAACAGUGAAGGCUCUGGUUCCAGUCAACUGUGAAAAUACUACAAUGCUGUUGGAUUACUUUAAAAAAAAAGUGUGUGUGUGUGUGUGUGUGUGUGUGUCCGGCCAGCCAGUGGACAGUUUUCUAUGUUGUCUCAGGAACACCAUGCACCUUUGAAACAGAAUCUCUCAUUUUUCUGGAGUUGGCCAGUUAGUUUAACUGGCUGGUAAGUGAACUCCAGGUCCUCUCAUUUCACCCUUCCCAGUGCUAAGGUUGUAAGAGCAUCCCACCUCGCCUGGCAGUUUUUCAUGGAUUCUGGCGAGUACACCCAGGUUCCUGUGCUUGCAAGGCAAGCACUCACUGACUGACUGACAUGUCUCCCCAACCCAAGUUAUUUUUCUUUGAAUUUUGUAGGAAAGCUUACAAUAAAGCUUCAAACUCCUGGAGGCUCUGACUCCUAGGUAUUCUUUGAAUUCUUAUGGACUCCUCUGUAGAUGAUCUGGGGGAAAAAAAAAAAAAGAGCCAGUGGGCCCGGCAGACAUGAAUGCUGUGGUAAAUACCAAACUAGUUUGACUUCAGUCUUUCCAGCCACUGAAUAAAUAGGUAGCACUUUUAACUUUAUUCCUUCUCGUAACUUCUGCUUAUGAUAAAAAACAUUAUUUUUAUUUAUUUUAAAAUCUUAGUUUACUUUAUGUGUGUGUGGAGGGGGGUGCCCAAGGAAACCAGAAGAGUAUAUCGUGCUCCCUUGGAGAAAGAGGUGCAGGUAGUUGUGAGCCAUGCUCAGUGUGGAUUCAGGGAACCGAACUCUGGUCCUCUACAAGAGCAGCAAGUACUCUCACCUGAAAACACCUGUCCCCCUGCUUAUUUUAAGUUAGUAACUGGGAAUGGUGGUCUGUGUCUACAGUCUGACCACUGGGAAGUCUGAACAGGAAAUCCCCUGGAUUUGAAGCCAGUGGGGCCUAGGAUACAAAUUCUGGCUCUGCCAGUCUUGAACAAGAAUUUAACCUCUUUAGUACUCGACUCUUCCAGAGUGGAGGUGUUGCUAGUACCCAACCUGUGGGUUCCUACACUGCUGUUUAGCAAUAGGAAGUGUUGGGUGCAGGAGAGAUGGCUCGGUGGGUACAGUGCAAAUGCAAGGACCUGAGUUUGAAUCUGCAGAACCCAGGUGAAACCCUAAGUGGUAGCUCCUAGACUGUAAUCCCAGUGCUCCUACGAAGAGAUGGGAGAGAGGCAGGAGCAUCCCUAGAAACGUGUGGCCAGCUAGCCUGGAGUGUACACACAGCAGUACACAACAAAAAGAUCCUGCCUCAGCCAAGGUGGGACUCAAGGUCAUUUGUACAUACAAACUACCCCCAACACCACCACACAGGUAAAACACUCCUGGCUUCCUCAGGCUCCUGAAUUCAUGCAUAUAUUCCUUUCACCCCUACAUACAUACAAAUAAUUAAAAAUACUCUAUCAUAACAUGUUUAACCAUUCGAUCAGUGACUAUUUGGAUGUCUACUUAGAAACGAGGUUACAAUGAAUUUUCUUUACCUUUGCUUACUUGCAAAGUAAGUUAUUCUUUGGGAUAAAUGUAUACCAGCAUGACUUUAAAAUGAAUACUACUUUUAUUUAGGAGAAAAUACCAAUAAUUUUUAAGAUCUAUGAGAUAUGCAUAUUAUUCCUUGAUGACACAGUAAAUUAAUUGGUUCAGCAGGUAAUCUAAAAUGUACCCUACUUUAUCUCUGAAUUAAAAGAAUUUUCAUGAAACAGG
rnacentral:lncRNA from 1 species